rnacentral:rRNA from 1 species
CGCAAACCGGCGACGGUAAGCUAAUCUCUUAAAACUUCUCUCAGUUCGGACUGGAGUCUGCAACUCGACUCCACGAAGGCGGAAUCGCUAGUAAUCGCGAAUCAGCAUGUCGCGGUGAAUACGUUCCCGGGUCUUGUACACACCGCCCGUCAAAUCAUGGGAGUCGGAAGUACCCAAAGUCGCUUGGCUAACUUUUAGAGGCCGGUGCCUAAGGUAAAAUCGAUGACUGGGAUUAAGUCGUAACAAGGUAGCCGUAGGAGAACCUGCGGCUGGAUCACCUCCUUUCUAAGGA